rnacentral:rRNA from 1 species
GGGUUGUGAGGUUAAGCGAAUAAGCGUACACGGUGGAUGCCUAGGCAAUCAGAGGCGAUGAAGGACGUGCUAAUCUGCGAAAAGCGUCGGUAAGGUGAUAUGAACCGUUAUACCCGACGAUAUCCGAAUGGGGAAACCCAGUAUCCAAUGGAUACUAUCAUUAACUGAAUCCAUAGGUUAAUGAGGCGAACCGGGAGAACUGAAACAUCUCAGUACCCCGAGGAAAAGAAAUCAACCGAGAUUCCCCUAGUAGCGGCGAGCGAACGGGGAGCAGCCCAGAGUCUUAAUCAAUAGCAGUGUCAGGAGAACGGUCUGGAAAGUCCGGCAGUAAAGGGUGAUAGCCCCGUAUCUGAAGAUGCUGUUAUUGUGAACUCGACGAGUAGGGCGGGACACGUGUUAUCCUGUCUGAAUAUGGGGGGACCAUCCUCCAAGGCUAAAUACUCCUGAUUGACCGAUAGUGAACCAGUACCGUGAGGGAAAGGCGAAAAGAACCCCGGCGAGGGGAGUGAAAAAGAACCUGAAACCGUGUACGUACAAGCAGUAGGAGCCUCUUUAUGGGGUGACUGCGUACCUUUUGUAUAAUGGGUCAGCGACUUAUAUUCUGUAGCAAGGUUAACCGUAUAGGGGAGCCGUAGGGAAACCGAGUCUUAACUGGGCGAAUGAGUUGCAGGGUAUAGACCCGAAACCCGGUGAUCUAUCCAUGGGCAGGUUGAAGGUUGGGUAACACUAACUGGAGGACCGAACCGACUAAUGUUGAAAAAUUAGCGGAUGACUUGUGGAUGGGGGUGAAAGGCCAAUCAAACCGGGAGAUAGCUGGUUCUCCCCGAAAGCUAUUUAGGUAGCGCCUCGUGAACUCAUCUUCGGGGGUAGAGCACUGUUUCGACUAGGGGGUCAUCCCGACUUACCAACUCGAUGCAAACUGCGAAUACCGAAGAAUGUUAUCACGGGAGACACACGGCGGGUGCUAACGUCCGUCGUGAAGAGGGAAACAACCCAGACCGCCAGCUAAGGUCCCAAAGUCAUGGUUAAGUGGGAAACGAAGUGGGAAGGCUCAGACAGCCAGGAUGUUGGCUUAGAAGCAGCCAUCAUUUAAAGAAAGCGUAAUAGCUCACUGGUCGAGUCGGCCCGCGCGGAAGAUGUAACGGGGCUAAACCAUGCACCGAAGCUGCGGCAGCGACACAAAGUGUUGUUGGGUAGGGGAGCGUUCUGUAAGCCUGCGAAGGUGUACUGUGAGGUAUGCUGGAGGUAUCAGAAGUGCGAAUGCUGACAUAAGUAACGAUAAUGCGGGUGAAAAACCCGCACGCCGGAAGACCAAGGGUUCCUGUCCAACGUUAAUCGGGGCAGGGUGAGUCGACCCCUAAGGCGAGGCUGAAAAGCGUAGUCGAUGGGAAACGGGUUAAUAUUCCCGUACUGGUGGUAACUGCGAUGGGGGAACGGAGAAGGCUAGGUUGUCCGGGCGACGGUCGUCCCGGUUCAAGCAGGUAGGCAGAGUGAUUAGGCAAAUCCGGUCACUUAAUGCUGAGAUGUGAUGACGAACCACCAAGGUGGUGAAGCAAUUGAUGCCCCGCUUCCAGGAAAAGCCUCUAAGCUUCAGGUUACCAACAAUCGUACCCCAAACCGACACAGGUGGUCAGGUAGAGAAUACUCAGGCGCUUGAGAGAACUCGGGUGAAGGAACUAGGCAAAAUGGUGCCGUAACUUCGGGAGAAGGCACGCUGGCGGUAGGUAAAGUCCCUCGCGGACGGCGCUGAAGCCAGUCGAAGAUACCAGCUGGCUGCAACUGUUUAUUAAAAACACAGCACUGUGCAAACACGAAAGUGGACGUAUACGGUGUGACGCCUGCCCGGUGCUGGAAGGUUAAUUGAUGGGGUCAGCCGUAAGGCGAAGCUCCUGAUCGAAGCCCCAGUAAACGGCGGCCGUAACUAUAACGGUCCUAAGGUAGCGAAAUUCCUUGUCGGGUAAGUUCCGACCUGCACGAAUGGCGUAAUGAUGGCCAGGCUGUCUCCACCCGAGACUCAGUGAAAUUGAACUCGCUGUGAAGAUGCAGUGUACCCGCGGCAAGACGGAAAGACCCCGUGAACCUUUACUAUAGCUUGACACUGAACAUUGAGCCUUGAUGUGUAGGAUAGGUGGGAGGCUUUGAAGUGUGGACGCCAGUCUGCAUGGAGCCAACCUUGAAAUACCACCCUUUAACGUUUGAUGUUCUAACCUAGGCCCAUAAACUGGGUCGGGGACCGUGUCUGGUGGGUAGUUUGACUGGGGCGGUCUCCUCCUAAAGAGUAACGGAGGAGCACGAAGGUUGGCUAAGCAUGGUCGGACAUCAUGCGGUUAGUGCAAAGGCAUAAGCCAGCUUGACUGCGAGAGUGACGGCUCGAGCAGGUACGAAAGUAGGUCUUAGUGAUCCGGUGGUUCUGAAUGGAAGGGCCAUCGCUCAACGGAUAAAAGGUACUCCGGGGAUAACAGGCUGAUACCGCCCAAGAGUUCAUAUCGACGGCGGUGUUUGGCACCUCGAUGUCGGCUCAUCACAUCCUGGGGCUGAAGUAGGUCCCAAGGGUAUGGCUGUUCGCCAUUUAAAGUGGUACGCGAGCUGGGUUUAGAACGUCGUGAGACAGUUCGGUCCCUAUCUGCCGUGGGCGUUGGAAGAUUGAGAGGGGUUGCUCCUAGUACGAGAGGACCGGAGUGAACGCACCACUGGUGUUCGGGUUGUCAUGCCAAUGGCAUUGCCCGGUAGCUAAGUGCGGAAGAGAUAACCGCUGAAAGCAUCUAAGCGGGAAACUUGCCUCGAGAUGAGUCUUCCCUGUCACUUUAAGUGACCUAAAGGAACGUUUAAGACUAAGACGUUGAUAGGCUGGGUGUGUAAGCGUAGCGAUACGUUGAGCUAACCAGUACUAAUGAACCGUGAGGCUUAACCUGACAACACCGAAAGUGUUUUG